AUUUCAAAACAACUGGAUGGCGUUUGCAGCAAUUAUUCACUCAAUCGGCGAUUAAUCUUCGAUUAAAUGUAUAAAUAUAACUGCUUAGGUAACAUUAGCUGCCCAAGGACUACUAUCAGUCGGAGAGCGAACACUUCAACCUCGGACCACCAACUAAUAGCUAGCUGUUUCGGAUAAGAUAGCGUCAAGCUAAGAAGUUAUCCUUGGCAUAGAGAGGCAGGUUUCAGAAAGAGGGCUGAUUUCACCACUAACAUUGAUGGGGUGGCUCCCACCAUCUUGUGGUGAACACAGCAACUUUGGCAAAUGCUAGACAGCUGUCGUGCCACACAGAGAUGCUGCUCGUCAGGAUGUUCUCUCAACCCCUGUAGAAGGUGGUGGUGAGUGUAGAUGUGGGAAGGUCGCUUUCAGGGUCGACGUGCCGGUAAUGGGUCUGAUGAUUUACAUGAUGGUGAUGGAAAGUCAGCAUCAGGACCAAGGCGGCACCAUGGCCCCAUCAAUUCCGUAGCAACCACUGCUUCUCCUCCUCAUGACUCAGACAACUGCACUCCAGGGCUCCACCAUCUCUGCAUCACACCAGAGCCUACCAAUACUGUUCCUGUGCCUACACUACUUUGUUGCACCUCCAGCUGCUACAGUGCAACCCCUUCCCUCUGCCUGACUCUCCACGUGCUGCUGGUCAGCCUGCCACUGCGCCUAUGGACCGUCUACGGCCACUGUGUCAAUGCUCUCGGCUGCACCUCAGACUGUCUAUGCUGAGGUGUGGGCACCACCUGGGGGGUGCGUCAGAGAUUCCAGGGUGUGCAUAGAAUUAGUUUGUGUUGAGGUUGUGACCAAAAAAAAAGCAAAUUGUUAUUAUAGUAAAGCCAAAUUAAAACACA